rnacentral:misc_RNA from 1 species
UUAGAAAACACAAGUGAUCACUUGAUCAGUGAGCGUCAGUGAUUAUUGGUCCUUACUGUUAGAUCUCUAAAUUUAGACCAAUUAUAUUAGCGAAUUACUCAACUAUUGUGCAAUGGUUGUGUCUUCUGAGAACGUAGCCAAUUAUUAGGAACGGAUUGUGGUUAGAAACAAAGAUAUAUAAUUUGUUUUCGUAUUUGAAAAUUAUAAAUCGAGUCCCUGGAGAAGAGUGGAUUUCUGCCUAUAAAGUGGAUUUAAGCCUACAAAGCUAGGUAGCAAAUCACCUAGGUAACAAAUAAACAAGAGAGUUAUAACCACCGUCAAAAAAAUUCCAUUAAAAGCAUCGAAUAUCCUCCGCGUUCUCGAUAUGUCCGAAGAUAUCGCGAAAACUCUUCUAGUGCAAUAUUAUGGAAUUUCUAAUGGGACCAAAGCCGAAAAAUUUCCAUCGAUCCAAGAAUGUGCGGGCAGCGUAGAGAACGAAUCAGACAAAUUGAUCGGCGAGCAAUCAACCUUGGACACAAACGAUGAUGACAUGUCCAGGGAAACAGAGGAGCAGGAAAAUGACACUGAAAACAAAGAAGAGAAUUCUGAGAUUGGCACACCGACGAGAUCCUCGCGAGCAUUGAAUUGGGAAGCGCUUGAAGACAAUAAAGAAAUAUCAUCUGAAUUCGAUAUUAUCUUUGAAGCAAAUACAACGGGUAAUUUAUAUGAAAAUACUUCUGUUGGCAAUGAAACGCAUGAUCUUGCCACAUACAGCAAGACUACUUCUAUCACUUUGGGUCUGGAAGACAAUGAAGGGAAUGAUUCGUAUCUCUCGCUUAGCGAAGAUGUACUACCGGACAGCGCUUCGGACGUUUCUUCAAUAACGGGAAAGAAAAGAAUGAAGAAAUCUACGGUUACAUUUGUUCCGCCUUCAACGCCGCCGCUAAGCAGAACUCCGAUAUAUAAUGAGACUUUUGUAGAUUUAACGAGCACUGGCCUUAUGUCGCUUCCUAUUGAAACGAUAGAAAAAUAUCCUACAAUACAAAUGUUGUAUCUAGAGAACAACAAUCUCUCUGAGCUUCCCGAGAAGAUUUUCGUUAUUUUGCAACAUUUACGGUGGCUGGACAUUCGAAAUAAUCUACUGACAAGUUUACCUACGAGCAUUAAAUCGCAUCCUUCACUAGAGACCAUCUUGUUGCAAGGAAAUAAAAUUGAGAAGUUACCAUUAGAACUUGGUCUAGUGCCAAAACUUAAAACUCUUAAUAUAGCGCAUAAUCCUAUUACUACACCUCCAAAAGACAUUAUUGCUCUCGGAUGCUCGAGUAUUCUCAACUACCUCCGGUCUGAAUGGAAUAAAUUGCAUCCAAAUGAGUCCGUGACGUUUGUGGAACAGAAGAUCGAACCAAAGGCAUCAACGAUCUUGUGUUAUCGAUCUCCGCGUGAAAAGCAAUGGAAAUUAUCAAAAGUUCCGCGGCGAUUAUCAAAAAGUACAAAUGAUAUUGGCAGUUCGUUCAAAAACUCUGCGAUCAAGAAGAAAAGUAGAACUUAUAAGCCUAGUAACAGGUAUAGCAAUAUGGAUAAUGAUACUUUUCUGGAGAAUUUGGUAAAUAGUAUCAGUGAUACACAUAACAAUAGUGCGGCAGGCUCUCUUUGCGCAUCGUGUGCACGAAAUUUUGCUAUACGAUGCAAGGACGCGAAUAACAAGAAAAAUGAGAGUAACAAUCAAGAUGAAAAAUGUAACAAGCAGCACGAAUUUUUAAAAAUGAUAGCUUUGUGCCAAGACAUCAAAAGAACUUACAUCAAGGAAGAAAUAGCCGAGAUGUGAGGAUAAAGGUACUAAUAUUGUCAUGGAACAGCGGUUACAAUGGAUUUCCAAAGCAAGAGAUUUGUUGAACGCACAAUCAGCAACAAUUCAAAGAAUUAAGGAUACAGAUACUC